rnacentral:rRNA from 1 species
GAUGAACGCUGGCGGCGUGCCUAAUACAUGCGAGUCGAGCGAACGGACGAGAAGCUUGCUUCUCUGAUGUUAGCGGCGGACGGGUGAGUAACACGUGGAUAACCUACCUAUAAGACUGGGAUAACUUCGGGAAACCGGAGCUAAUACCGGAUGAUAUUUUGAACCGCAUGGUUCAAAAGUGAAAGACGGUCUUGCUGUCACUUAUAGAUGGAUCCGCGCUGCAUUAGCUAGUUGGUAAGGUAACGGCUUACCAAGGCAACGAUGCAUAGCCGACCUGAGAGGGUGAUCGCCCACACUGGAACUGAGACACGGUCCAGACUCCUACGGGAGGCAGCAGUAGGGAAUCUUCCGCAAUGGGCGAAAGCCUGACGGAGCAACGCCGCGUGAGUGAUGAAGGUCUUCGGAUCGUAAAACUCUGUUAUUAGGGAAGAACAUAUGUGUAAGUAACUGUGCACAUCUUGACGGUACCUAAUCAGAAAGCCACGGCUAACUACGUG